rnacentral:rRNA from 1 species
CGUGUGUGAUGAAGGUCUUCGGAUCGUAAAGCACUGUCGGGAGGGACGAAUAAGCCCGGAGUGAACAACCCCGGGUGACGACGGUACCUCCAGAGGAAGCACCGGCUAACUCUGUGCCAGCAGCCGCGGUAAUACAGAGGGUGCAAGCGUUGUUCGGAAUUAUUGGGCGUAAAGCGCGUGUAGGCGGCCGCGUAAGUCGGAUGUGAAAGCCCUCGGCUUAACCGAGGAAGUGCGUUCGAAACUGCAUGGCUUGAGUACCGGAGAGGGUGGUGGAAUUCCCGGUGUAGAGGUGAAAUUCGUAGAUAUCGGGAGGAACACCAGUGGCGAAGGCGACCACCUGGACGGAUACUGACGCUGAGACGCGAAAGCGUGGGGAGCAAACAGGAUUAGAUACCCUGGUAGUCCACGCCGUAAACGAUGAGUGCUAAGUGUUAGAGGGUUUCCGCCCUUUAGUGCUGCAGCAAACGCAUUAAGCACUCCGCCUGGGGAGUACGGCCGCAAGGCUGAAACUUAAAGGAAUUGACGG